rnacentral:pre_miRNA from 1 species
GGUGGGGCAGCUGGUGUUGUGAAUCAGGCCGUUGCCAAUCAGAGAACGGCUACUUCACAACACCAGGGUCACACCCC